CAAAGCGUGAAGCUCCUGAUGAAGGACGAGAUCAUGGACACACAACACCAGCGGCGCAGAAAGACUCUCGAGACGAACCUGCAGCCAACAAACUCACACACCACACCUCAACACACUCCAGAACACACACCCACAUCAGACUCCUGCCAUCCGUGCAUCCCACCCAGCUCCUCUGACUGCAUCACUCCUCCUCCUCCUCUGGCUCAUGUCCCAGAAUCCCCUGC